GAACGUUUUGCAUUAACAUAAACUCCUCAUCGACCUAAAUCCUCAUCAGCAUAAGAUCUUCAUGUCAUAGGAUUACUGCCACCCUCCCAGUCAUCUGAUACUUCCUCCGAUUAUAAGAUCCUCUUCAAUUUAGGAUUAUUGCUGCCCUCUGAGUCAUCUGAUACUCCCUAUGAACCCAAUAUACAGUGGCAAGCUCAGAAUGUCUUUAUCUCUGCCAGCUCUGAAGCACUGACACCCCUCCCCCCAUACUUUGGAACUAUGUGAGCCUCUAUUGUCUUUUCUUUAGCCCUCACUUUCCCCUUUCCAGGCAGUUGGAGGAUUGAUCGGCCUCCGAUAAUAGUCAACAUCUAGUCCUGGUCCUAGUCCCUGGUCUAGGGCCAGGAACCAAGAGGAGAGGAUCCACAGCUAAGGUCCCAGAUGGAUUUUGUUUAUCUUCCUCUGAAAAUCGAUGUUCUUCAGCAGGGGCUGGGCCCUGGAACUAAACUUUGAUUGGACUAAGCUAAUCAAGACCCGUCAAGUGAUUGUUGAGACUUUGCCUACUACAGGAGAGGCGAGGCCGGAACCGUGCUAAGAUCUUGGCACAGUGAGACUUUUGACACAGUGUGAGUGGUAGAAAAGCAAAAAGAAAAGAGCCUCAGACCUCGAUGAUGCCAUUGAGGCACUGAAUCAGCAAAGUUCUUCCUUUGCACCUUCAGCUGGGGUUUCUUUUAUUUGUUGCCAGAGCAUCCCAAUAAUUAUAGAGUGUUUGGGAUUUACUCUGUUGUAACUGGCAUCAAACAACCAGGGUUAGAAUCUCAACUAUAUUACCAGCUAGCUUUGUGACCUUGGAAGAGUUAUUUUCUCUCUAUGAGCCUAAUUUCUUAAAAUAAUGGAGAAUAAAAAACCUAUUUCCCAAAGUGGAAGUUGAACAUAAAAUAUGAAAAUUAUUAUUGCUAUCCAUAAUACUUAUUAAUAUUAGGUGAGAUAUAAUAAUAUCAGUACCAUAAUAAAGUUCCAUCAGGAGUGAUCUGCAGUGAGAAUGCUUCAAAGUCGACCUAUGUUUCCAGGAAAAUUGCUCAUCCUGACACAGCUGUACCCUGCCUGUUCUCCUAAUGGCACUUGGGGAAAAGCCGGUCUGGCUACAGUUUGGGGUGAGCAGUUCCUCAUUGGAUAUAAAAACAAAAGGGGGCAUAUUCCCAGCAUUUCAGUGCAAGUUUUGGGCUGGAACAUACAGUGAGUAACUUCUCUGGGUUUUUUUUGGUUUUUUUUUUUUUUUUUUUUUGCACCGAGAAGUAGACAGUUGCACAAAUUUUAGGUCAAAUGUUGUGUCUCUGAUGUGUGGAAGAAAAAUAAGUUUAAGUUUCCAAUUGUAUUGUAUCUGGGGAGUAUUGAUUCCCCAAGUAGAGCUUUGUAGAAGACCUUCUUCCAUCUCAUUCUUUUCAUCCCAUCUCAUUGUUUUCAUCCUCCUCACCCCCCUGUACGGGGCCACUGUCUUAGGAUCCUGGGACCAAAAUAUAGACUGGGUGGCUUAUGAACAACAGAGAUUUAUGUUCAUUUUACUGGUUUACUAGUUUGCUUUUAGUUUUAAUCUCUUAACGAUGUAAUCAACCAGGUGGUUAGGAAAACUUUCUAACACUUCUCAUGUAAACUCAAAUUCUAGGUUUUUCUUUGGAUAACAUAGGUUCUUUACUAUUUGCAAGGUUAUUCCCAAGCUGCAAAGUUCUCUCUUUAUAUUUUUUCCUGUAUUCUUCUAUUCACUUUUGGCUGCCAUACUCAGAUAAACAGAAAGCAUAAAUGCUGUUAUUUCAUGCAUCUGCAGUGGAACACUCAGCAGCAGACAGUAACUCCUCCAGGUCUGUUAAAUAGAAACAUCAGAACUUUAUAUCUCACAGUUCUGGAGGCUGGGAAACCUGAAACUAAGGUUCUUCCAUAGUUGCUUUCUAGUGAAGGCUCUCUUUAGGGUUACACGCUGCUGUCUUCUUGUAUCCUCACAGAGUGGAAGGAAAGUGAGAGAGCCCUCUGCGGUUCUUUAUAUAAAGGCAUUUGUCACAUUUGUGAGGUUUCCAACUACUUUCCCCCCGAAGGUCUCACCUAGGAUUUGUAAAGUAACCCCUAAACACUGCAAAGCCUGAGCAGCUUUACAGCUAUAGCUAGUUUUUCUCCCUUUUUGUUGCAAGAUUAAGGGCCAGAGGAGCAUUGCAUUUUGUAUGUAUUUGUGGUAGAAGCAGCCUCUCGUUUCUGACUGAAAAUAAGGAUGUUGUUAUUCUGAUGAAUAUGACAUCUAGGAGGUCUUUCUCAAGACUGUUUGUUGUGGAAGGCCUGGAGAGGACCAGAGUGCGGUUUGGGCUGCCUAAAUGAGGAGGGGGAGCCCAUGGGAUCCUUCCAUCCCAGAGCCUGUUAUUUUUUUUAAAGGAAGGUCAAGAAAGGAGGAGCU
ensembl:lncRNA